rnacentral:rRNA from 1 species
UGCGCAGGUGGUUUGGCAAGUUUGACGUGAAAGCCCCGGGCUUAACCCGGGAACGGCGUUGAAAACUGCUUGAACUGGAGGGUCGGAGGGGGGACUGGAAUUCUUGGUGUAGCAGUGAAAUGCGUAGAUAUCAAGAGGAACACCAGUGGCGAAGGCGAGUCCCUGGACGAUACCUGACACUGAGGCACGAAAGCCAAGGGAGCAAACA